rnacentral:rRNA from 1 species
UACAGAGGGUGCAAGCGUUGUUCGGAAUUAUUGGGCGUAAAGGGCGCGUAGGCGGUGCGGUAAGUCGGGUGUGAAAUCUCGGGGCUUAACUCCGAAACUGCAUUCGAUACUGCCGUGCUUGAGGACUGGAGAGGAGACUGGAAUUUACGGUGUAGCGGUGAAAUGCGUAGAUAUCGUAAGGAAGACCAGUGGCGAAGGCGGGUCUCUGGACAGUUCCUGACGCUGAGGCACGAAGGUCAGGGGAGCAAACGGG